ACGCUCGACACCUACGGGAGCCAGCAGUGGGGAAUAUUGCACAAUGGGGGAAACCCUGAUGCAGCGACGCCGCGUGGAGGAAGAAGGUCUUCGGAUUGUAAACUCCUGUUGUUGGGGAAAAAGAGGAUGGUACCCAACAAGGAAGUGACGGCUAACUACGUGCCAGCAGCCGCGGUAAUCUGAGCGGGCUGGCAAGGC
rnacentral:rRNA from 1 species